GAAACGGCCCCGGGAGCAACAGUCUGCCGCAGCCCGGCCACGCGGCCUCACAUUACCACCAUAAGUGCACUCAACUGGAUAACAACGCGCUCUUCGCGUAAUUGUUAUAUCAAGCUCUUUGAUCGGUACACGCAGAUAAUUAACAGACUGAAAUCCUUAAAGUAGAUUCAAAAUCAGUGAAUAAAAUGUCGUGCUUUAUUGGUGAAGUUCUCAUCCCUGACUGAAUCAAGUCGCUUGUACAGUGUUCCCAGUGGGGUGAUGAUGUGAUAUUGUAGUGACGAAGCAAGAACAGACCGCAACAUGUUACCAACCAACGUGAUGU